AGGCAAGAUGUGUUAAGUAGGCCUACCCUGCUGCGCAGGUAGUUGCCACUUAACGCUCUACCUUAUUCGCAGCCUUCGGCGCUCAACGUAUCCUUGCUCUGCGAGGCU
rfam:Shewanella benthica KT99 1099576005611, whole genome shotgun sequence.